CUCCUCUUUCUUCCAAAUUGAUUCUCUAUCUUUUAAUAGGUUUGAUAAUGAUUGGAAAGUAAGUUUGAACUAUUGGAUGACUUGAACUAGCCGUUAGAAUGGAAGAAUAGUCUUUGGAGACAUUGCAAAAAAUUAGCCGUUAUGCUAUCCCUAUGCUUGGAGUCAACUCCUUUUCCCAUGGGAUCGACUCCUUGUGACUUCGAAUCGACUCGAGUUUGUCAUGAGUCAGCUCGAUUCAUAGGAUCUGAAAAAUAGCUCUCUAUCUUCUCUGAGAGAGCCGGUUCGAAUCCUCUUUGAGUCGACUCGUCUGUAUGCUGGAUUUCUCUAAUAUACCAGAGUCGACUCCUCUUUACUGAGGUCGACUCCUGAACUAUCUGAAUUUAAAUUUUUUUCUAUUUUUAGUCCGUUGUAGUAUAGAGGUCGGCUCUUUUCU
rnacentral:lncRNA from 1 species